AGUGAACGCUGGCGGUAGGCCUAACACAUGCAAGUCGAACGGCAGCACAGUAAGAGCUUGCUCUUACGGGUGGCGAGUGGCGGACGGGUGAGGAAUACAUCGGAAUCUACUUUUUCGUGGGGGAUAACGUGGGGAAACUUAUGCUAAUACCGCAUAUGACCUACGGGUGAAAGCAGGGGAUCUUCGGACCUUGCGCGAUUGAAUGAGCCGAUGUCGGAUUAGCUAGUUGGCGGGGUAAAGGCCCACCAAGGCGACGAUCCGUAGCUGGUCUGAGAGGAUGAUCAGCCACACUGGAACUGAGACACGGUCCAGACUCCUACGGGAGGCAGCAGUGGGGAAUAUUGGACAAUGGGCGCAAGCCUGAUCCAGCCAUACCGCGUGGGUGAAGAAGGCCUUCGGGUUGUAAAGCCCUUUUGUUGGGAAAGAAAAGCAGCAGGUUAAUACCCCGCUGUUCUGACGGUACCCAAAGAAUAAGCACCGGCUAACUUCGUG
rnacentral:rRNA from 1 species